rnacentral:rRNA from 1 species
UGGGGAAUAUUGGACAAUGGGGGCAACCCUGAUCCAGCGAUGCCGCGUGAGUGAAGAAGGCCUUCGGGUCGUAAAGCUCUUUAGGUUGGGAAGAAGAAUACAUACGGAUAAUGUAUGUAUUUUGACGGUACCGACAGAAUAAGCACCGGCAAACUCUGUGCCAGCAGCCGCGGUAAUACAGAGGGUGCGAGCGUUAAUCGGAUUUACUGGGCGUAAAGGGCGCGUAGGCGGUGAGACAUGUGUGAUGUGAAAGCCCCGGGCUUAACCUGGGAAGUGCAUCGCAAACUGUUUGACUGGAGUAUAUGAGAGGGUGGCGGAAUUUCCGGUGUAGCGGUGAAAUGCGUAGAGAUCGGAAGGAACGUCAAUGGCGAAGGCAGCCACCUGGCAUAAUACUGACGCUGAGGCGCGAAAGCGUGGGGAGCGAACAG